AUUGAGCGCUGGCGGCAUGCCUUACACAUGCAAGUCGAACGGUAACGCGGGGCAACCUGGCGACGAGUGGCGAACGGGUGAGUAAAGCAUCGGAACGUGCCCAGUAGUGGGGGAUAGCCCGGCGAAAGCCGGAUUAAUACCGCAUACGACCUAUGGGUGAAAGGGGGGGAUCGCAAGACCUCUCGCUAUUGGAGCGGCCGAUGUCAGAUUAGGUAGUUGGUGGGGUAAAGGCCUACCAAGCCGACGAUCUGUAGCUGGCCUGAGAGGACGACCAGCCACACUGGGACUGAGACACGGCCCAGACUCCUACGGGAGGCAGCAGUGGGGAAUUUUGGACAAUGGGCGCAAGCCUGAUCCAGCCAUGCCGCGUGCGGGAAGAAGGCCUUCGGGUUGUAAACCGCUUUUGUCAGGGAAGAAAUCCUUUGGGUUAAUACCUCGGGGGGAUGACGGUACCUGAAGAAUAAGCACCGGCUAACUACGUGCCAGCCGCCGCGGUAA
rnacentral:rRNA from 1 species